GGGUGGAGCAGCCUGGUAGCUCGUCGGGCUCAUAACCCGAAGGUCGUCGGUUCGAAUCCGGCCCCCGCAACCA
rnacentral:tRNA from 1 species